GACGAACGCUGGCGGCGUGCUUAACACAUGCAGGUCGAACGGAAAGGCCCUGCCUUUGUUGGGUGCUCGAGUGGCGAACGGGUGAGUAACACGUGAGUAACCUGCCCUUGACUUUGGGAUAACUUCGGGAAACUGGGGCUAAUACCGGAUAGGACCUCCUGCUGCAUGGUGGGGGUGGGAAAGUUUCGGCGGUUGGGGAGGGGCUCGCGGCUUAUCAGCUUGUUGGUGGGGUAGUGGCUUACCAAGGCUUUGACGGGUAGCCGGCCUGAGAGGGUGACCGGCCACAUUGGGACUGAGAUACGGCCCAGACUCCUACGGGAGGCAGCAGUGGGGAAUAUUGCACAAUGGGCGGAAGCCUGAUGCAGCAACGCCGCGUGCGGGAUGACGGCCUUCGGGUUGUAAACCGCUUUCGCCUGUGACGAAGCGUGAGUGACGGUAAUGGGUAAAGAAGCACCGGCUAACUACGUG
rnacentral:rRNA from 1 species